rnacentral:rRNA from 13 species
UCUAAUAGGGAACGUGAGCUGGGUUUAAA